CGUAGUCGACGGAGGUCGGAAACGCACGAACCUCGCGGCUCGAGCGACCGAACCAACGACACGGCCAAGCAGUGCGGUACCGACUCUUGCUGCCGCGGUUUCAACAUCCGUGGUGUGCGUGGACGAGUGUUUACGCGACAGUAGACUCGCAUCUCGAGUCGAAAACCCCCCACUCCCCCCGAGGUACGGAGUCGAGCCGAAUACAAUACAGAGGAGAGGAUAGGAGAAAGGAGAGAAGCGAACAGAGAAGCAGGCAAGAGAGAGAGAGAGAGUCGGGCACGCGAGUCGAAGGGUAGACGACUGGCGAACGUAGGAAGAGGACCGACGUGAAGGCGCGUUUGCGGCGGUGGAGUUUGCAUCGUCGAGCACAGUCUCGUACAAGUCUCGUUGAGGAUUUAGUAGCGGUGCACACGUCGUCGCGUUUAUCAGUAGCGAGACAACGCGGCGAGUCGUCCGGUUGGCGAGACGAGCGAAACCAUCGACGCUCGUCCGGGGAAACAGAGGCGAGCGAGAGAGAGAGAGAGAGAGAAAGAGGGGGAGAGAGAGAGAAAGAGAGAAAAAGAGAGAGAGAGAAAGGCGGAAGGCAGGGAAAAAAAAAAGAAAAGAGAAAACAUUGUGUGCCGUCUUUAUCGUUCGGGGCGUGGGUGCAGCGAACGUGAAUCCCUCUCGGACGAAACCGCCUUGCCGCGAGCGAACGAGGAGCGGCAGCGAGGAAAAAGGCGAGGAGAGAAAGAGAUGGUGGAGGACGGAACGGAUCCGUCGCGAGAAUCGAGUCGAGUAGCCUUUUCUCUGGUAGGGACACGACGUCUUGAGGAGGCCAAGUAGCGUGUGGCAUUGCGAGCCAAGAAACCGAAGGAGCCGACGAGAGACCGGACACUCUUGCGACGAGAGGAGACAAGCGAGACAGACAGACAGACAGAGAGAGAGAGAGAGAGAGAGAGAGAGAGAGAGAAAGAGAGAGAGAGAAACAGAGAGAAACGGGCACGGCGAAAAGAGGAGAAACUCGGAGAAAAGAAAGUCUUGGGCUCUUCGAGAGGGAUAUUCGUGGUGGUCACGUGUAGCCAGCAGCGGGUGAAAAUCGCGAGAGAACGCAACGACUCUCUCGAAAAGGAGGCUCGAGAGGUGCCGAGUCUCUCUCUUUUCCAUCGUCUCGCGAUUUCGCAACAGCACGCGAACCACCGAGCCGACGACGAGAGGGAAAAACAACGAGGAGGGAUCGGAGGAUCGAGGCGCUCGAGCGAGAUCGGCCGCCGGAUAUCCUGGAGAACGAUGACGAUGGUGGUAAGGAGGAUCGCGAGCGGUAACCGGAGGACGAGCAGCACGAGAGGGCUCGAUUGAAUUGCGAUCGAAUCCGUUGGAACUCGCGGCAAUCGCCGCUAACACCCAGGUGAACACCCAUCAUAGUCGUCGUCGCACGUCGUCUCGCCUUUUUAAGCCGGCGACCGUCGUCGGCGACCGACCGGCCUGCUCGCCGUCGGUCCCGUCGUCGUCGCGACGGUACGACAGGCCGCACACACCACCGCGGUUUUCCGACGUUUUCGACGUUUUCGACGAGAGGGUGGUGUCGCGACGCAGUGUGUCCGGGAAUAGUGAGUGUUUUGGUGUGCGAGCUGAUACAUAUUCCAGCCAGUCCACGCGGGAUCGCGCGCGGUUCUUCGCGACUCGCGCUACCCUGCCGACGGCUCGCGCUCUUCUUCGCGAAGCCGUCGGGGAGAGAGCGGACCUCCUGUCAGUCAGUUUGCUUGCUUGCCCUCCUGCUGUUCUCUCUGCCUCUGCUCUCUCUCUCUCUCUCUGUCUCUCUGUCUGCAUACCAAAUCGCCCGUCGCCUACUCUCUACUACUCCGCCUUUGCUCUACCUGUCCGUCAUCUAUCGACCGCUCCGGAAUAUCUUUCUCCUCGCGAGAAGGGAACCGUGCGAACCGAGUUUCUUCAGGCGAAGACUGCCGGGCAGAGACGAUAUAUCGAGUGGUAUCGGGCCACGUACAGGUACGUACGUGACUCGCCGCGAGGAAAAAUUACGCGUUGAUCCGCGUUAGUCUUUUGGAAACGAGAGAGCGGAGAGCGAGAUAGUCAGCGAGGAUGCAGGUGGCAACGCUAUUUAGAGAGAGCGCCACCCUGCUGGGUGCCUCUAGCCUGGACCCACCGCAGACCCACCAUCACCAGUCUAUGCACCCGCAGCAGCAACAGCAGCAACAGCAGCAACAACUACAACAUCCUGCCGACCUGCAUCUGGCUCAUCACAUGCAGCAUCACUACAAAUUAUCGUAUCCGUCGCCUGUACAAAAUGGUGGGCCGAAUGGGACGCCGAUGAACUGCGCUGGUUCUCAAGGAGUGAUGGUAAAGCAGGAAGCGAGGGAUGACGGUUACGAGACAAGUCCGGACCUCGAGAUGAGGAGCACCGGUGGUGACAGCAGUCAGCAGUACCACACGCCGCUGACACCGCACACACCGCACACACCACACACGCCGCACACACCCCUCACGCCGAUAUCGGCGACAGCGCAUCAACCCCAGCAACCUGGCUCGUCCGCUUCCACCCUCGGACAGGUGGCGAUCAAGUGCGAGACCCCGGUGGACCCGUACUCGUUCGUCGACGAGGAAAUGUCGAUGGGCGGCAUAAGGACGGCGAGCAGCCCGGUUGGCAAUCCGGAGAACAUGACGUGUCCGGCUGGGGGUCAACCCAUCCUGGCUACACCAACGUCAACGCCGCCUGGCUCGUUGUCCGGGCCGCAACAUCUCCAGAUGAACCUCGGCGCGAUGAACGGCAACGUGAAUCCCCAAUUGACGGCGCAACAGCCGAAGAAACGGGGCCGCAAGAGAAAAUCAGAGAUGAUCCUCACCCCCGAAGAGGCGGAAUUAGCCGAGGCGAAGAAACGAGCAAAGACGUACAAAGAGAGGAAGAAGCACGACCGAUUCGACGGUAUGCCGGAAGAGGAAGUGAGCAAGCGCGUUCUUCCUGAUCAUCUUACCAACAAUCUGGACAUUAUCAUAAUUGGAAUCAACCCGGGACUCUUCGCCGCUUACAAGGGCCACCACUACGCCGGGCCGGGGAACCAUUUCUGGAAGUGUUUGCACUUGAGUGGACUGACACCCGAACCACUGACGGCGGAUGACGACUACAAGCUCCUGCGCUUCGGUAUCGGUUUCACGAAUAUGGUAGCUCGCGCCACUAAAGGCAGCGCUGAUCUAACGAGGAAAGAAAUCAAAGAAGGUAGCCACAUUCUGUUGGAGAAAUUACGGAAAUAUAAACCGAAGAUCGCUGUGUUUAACGGUAAACUCAUAUACGAGGUAUUCUCUGGGAAGAAGGAGUUUGGAUUCGGUAGACAACCUAACUUGGUAGAGGGCACAAAUACGUACAUGUGGGUGAUGCCAUCGAGUAGCGCGAGAUGCGCGCAACUACCGCGGGCGGCGGACAAAGUGCCAUACUACGCGGCGCUGAAGAAGUUUCGCGAUUACUUGAACGGCACGAUCUCUCACCUGGAUGAAUCCGACAUAGUGUUCGCGGACUCGAAGCUGAAGAAGAAGGAACAAGAGGCGAUCGAGGAUAAAAAGCCAGCGUUCUGCGAGGAGCUUACGAACGAGGGAGAAAGCAGAAUCACCGAGGCGAAUGGAACCGGCAUGAAACAAGACUCCAACUCUCAAAUACCCGGCAAGAAGAAAAGAGGCAGGCCAAAGAAGAUAAAGAACCCGGAAGAUCAACCGCCGCCCGAUCCCGAGAAGUUAGACGCGAACGGGGAAGUGAUAAAGAAACGGCGAGGACGGCCGAAAAAGAUACAUCAGCAGCAAAAGCAACAGGAACGGGAGAUGAGGGAACAGCAGCAGCAACAUCAGCAACAGCAUCAGGGUAUGGGUCAUCUCGGGGACGGUUACGGUACCGUGGUACCCAACUGCUUCUCACCACCGAAGACAUUUGCGCAUAUGGCUCCCUAUCCACAACCGAUGAACGAUUCUGGAUUUUACGGGCAAGGUAUCAACGACAGCCCGUAUAGUAUAAAUGCAAAACAAAGCCCGGUACACUUGCAACACUACAGCCAAAGCCCGAAAUCCAUGUCGCUCUCGUUUACUCAUUCCGAUCUAUCCUCGGAGAUCAACACCGCGAUUUCUUCAGAGAACAACCUGGAACCAUCGCCGUUGACAUCCCCGAGCGUCGAGCAUCCGGAUUUCGAACCACCUACCAGUAUCUCGCAGCAAAAUAUGAACAACGAUCAUCGCCAGUACAAUCCAGCUGGGAACGGCGAGAAUCCGGGUCAUCACGGUAGCCCGGGUACGCCGUCCCAUCAGAGCUACACCAGCUACAUGGGUUAUCACGACCAAACCUCCGACCCCCACAAUCCCCAUCCCCACCAGACUACGCCGACACCGUUGAGCCAAACUACCGACGACCAUUCGCAUCACUCUCAUCCGACUCCCCCGCAUACGCAUCCGCAUACGCCGACACACGCCUCGAUGUCACCUCACCACCAUCCGCACGAGCAGUACGCCAUGAAGAGAAACGCCGGACAGGACGUGGCCUCGAAAAGUCUCAGCGACUUGGAAUCUCUAGUCGAUCAGAUACCGAGCAUAGCCGACGGCGGUAGCCAACGUCUGCAACACGCGCAUCCCGGGAUGACCGACGACGGAUCUCUUGCGGAAAAAAUGGAAGCGCAUCAUCAGUCUUAUUUGUCGGGAUUCUCUGGUAUGCCUAACGCCGGCAUGUCCAAUUACAGCCCUCCCUUGGCGCCCACCGGUGCGAUCUAUCCAUCUUCGUUACACCAUUCUCCCAACGACGGUUACGGCUCUCUUUACGGCAUGAACGGACGCCAGCAUCAGGACUCCCAGCAGCAGCAGCAACAGCAGCAGCAGCAGCAGCAACAGCAACAGCAGCAACAGCAGCAUCAACAGCAACAGCAACAGCAACAGCAUAGUAAAUCGUACACAGUUGAAAAUCUAGCGUCUAGCAAUUACACGCCAAGCAUGAGCCACGGACACCCUGGUAACUCGUAUCCGAAUAUUAUUCCUGGACCUCAUUAUCCCGUACCAAUGGGAUCGACGAACGGGUAUCUUUUUGGUGGCCUUGAAUCAAGCUUGAUGCAACGCACCUACGGGAUGAGCGGUAUGAGCGGCAUGGGGGGAAUGCAUCCAUCCCUCGGUCACAUGGCGAAUCCUUAUUCCUACAAUGGUUCGUACUCUAGUUCCUUCGACGCCUAUCCGGCCCCGCCAGCAGGGAUUCACGCGCCCAGCGCUAAUUAUCCCGGCGGUUACGCGAGCGUUGGUAGCGCGACGCCAGGUACUUCUACGCCACCGUCUUACCUUCCAUCCCAUCACAGACCGUCAGUCGACCUCGCUUACGACGGUGUAUGAUAAUCGAUGUAAAGCUAUUAUUCGACGUACAUACGCGCACGCUCACACACAGACACACACACAUGCACGCACGCACACACAGACAAACAGACAGACAAACAAACAAACAAACAGGCAAACAAGCAGACGAUUCGAGCGCUACGUUUAUCUUUUCUACGUAUUUUUACACGUUUAGGAUCCGCCGGAACGAUCGUCUCUUUCUGGCGCGACUUGCUACUGCGAUUUGCGCGCGCGCGCGCGCGCAUUUUCUUCCUCCUCCUCCUCCUCCUUUCACCGGAGAUCUUCUCCAGCUUCUUCACGCUUUCCUCACCCUUCCUUUUCACCUUUCAUCGCGCGUUUUCGUAUUCACUCGAAACUCCUCCCCUCCCGAGUUUUCCCUCUUUUUCUUUUUCCUUUUCUUUUCUUGUCUGGCUCGAUCAACGAUUACGCCACGGGAGUAGCAACGCGGAGGCGCGCGGUACGAAACCACGAGAAGGUGGGAAAAAGAAAGGGAAAAAGGCUGGUUCUCGCACGCGCUAUGCAAUCUGGCUAUCGUAUUAUGUAAAUGCGUUAAAUAGGGUUUGGAAAGUGGCGUGUUCGUCGAGAUUGCUAUUUGUCUCUUUUUUUUUUUUUUUCGCAGUGAUCGCGCAUCGAUCGUCGAUAAUGGGAAAAGUUGAAUGUUGAAGUUUCGCUUUUUUCCAUCGUUAUUUUUUCUAACGUUAUACCUGUUACACUUUCGUUAUUGUUGAAGGAUAUUCCGCUGUUUCGCUUCACUGGCAAGCAUGUGCGAUCUGUUGCUGUUUCAACGAAUCGGUAUACAUUUUUCUUCGAACGUCGCUUGUUAGAGCUAUAUCGCAAAAAUCCAGCGUGUCAAGAUGUAUCCGUAUAUUGUUGUUUCUGUUUCUUUCGUUGAAAAGGGUAUGCAAUAGUUUGUACACGUUUUACAUCACGUUAUUAAUUGUAAUCGAUACGUCCACGAGCAAGAUUCGCUAAUCGUCAAGCGAUGGCGUUCAACCUUUAUGUUGGAGCAUUUUUUCACGAGCCAACGGACGAGAUAUAUCCGAAUUAGUGGAAUGUGUAUACACGUUCGCGUUGGAACAUUGACCGGUGGUAAUCGUGGCGAUGCGCUAAUCGCGAAAGAAUGUAAUUCGCGGAUUCAUCGGUCGCACACGCCGUGUAGAGAGUACGUCUUUCGAUGGUAUUCCUAAUAAAAGAAAAAGAAAGAAAAGAAAAAAAAUCUGGAAAUAUUUUCUGUUCGUGGUGUAACAUAUGCGAUAUCGUAGAUGUACGAUACGUAUACAGGUAUGUAUCAUGCGUGCGUUUACAAGUGUAUGACAACGUUACAUCAAAGCAAUAGCCGCAUACACGCGUGUGCACAUGAUUAAUUGCAAAACUGUAUAUGUUUAAUGCGAAUCUAGUCAAUUCGAUUCGUUGAAUCGUGGCGGUUUAUCGCAAUCGACCGAGUAAUUUCGCACGUGGAUUAAGUGGGAAAAAAGAAAACUGACCGAUCGAUAGAGGUACAUGAAUUUCGCGCGAUUUCCCUUCCGCUCUCCGUACGGACGGAGAAGAGGCUCGACUGAAUCGUGAUUGAAAGUUGACCGAUUGCUACGACGAAACUCCGACACUGCUCCGAUCGAAUUUCUUCGCGAUGUUCAUUGUAUUUUUGCGCAGCGCAGAGCUCAACGUUGUUGUUUCUCCUGCUUCAUUUUGUUACGGAUUGCGAUUCAGAAGAGAUUCGUCGCUACCAGUACGGAAAUGCGUGACCAAUUCCAUUUGAUAUGAUCCUAUCCGAUGGACGAGAAACGAUUCGUAAACCACUACGUAUACAGAUACGCUUGGCAUAAUAAACGCUCGCAAUCAACGAUCUUCAUUUACAAUUUGUUAAAGCUCCUCGAUGUAACGAACGUCUAUUUCCUUUUUUCUCUAAUGGAGUGCACUAAUUGUUACGAUUGAAGGUCACAAGUGAAAAACACGAUAAGUCACAUUUCUUUCAUAGAAGAAAUUCAAAUAGUUCAGAGUACUUAGGUUGUUGACCAAUUGAAAGUAUUUCUCCGUUUGGUUCUGGGAUUAUGUAUUUUCAUCAUCCUCUUGAAAACCUGAAAGAAUUUAGCGAUGUUAGUUACACAGUAUUAAUCAAAUUAAGUUAAAUUAACGUUUCAUUGAUUUAUGGCUUACCUUUCAAAACUAUCAAAUUAAUCCUUCAAUCUUUUGUAUUACAAUUACUUCUCUCGACACAAAAAUAGAUUUAUCAUAUCUUUUCCGUGUGAUCUUCAAUUGAGCCGCUCAUUUGCCACAUCGAUCAACUCCACAAAAUAAAAAUUGAUAUAAAGCAUGAAUAUAUUCUUUUUCAAAGUUUCCUUUAAAAUUUAUAAACAAACAUUGUAGCCGUAGUUUUGAUUUGACGAUAUGUAUACAAAAUACAUACUGAAGUCGUAUGUUGUCUUUAAUUACAUUGGCUUCUGAAACGAAUCAUUUAUUAUUCCAUGGUCAUUUAAUGUGUCUAAUUAUUAAGGAAAUUUAUUUUAAAUAUAAAAGAUUAAGUAUCGAUCACGUGCUUUGGCACUGAAAUUUAAAAACAUGUGGAGUUAAUCAAUUUGCCCUGUGAAUGGCUCAAUUAUCAUUUCGGUCGUAUCUUUAAUUAAAUUUUCUAUUUAUUUUCUUUUUUUUUCUGCAACUAAUUUGGAGAGAAAAAUAGAAAUGUAAAUGUCGUGAAAAAAAAAAGUCACACGACCUCUCUGUCUGUACGCGUUGAUCGAACCGCGAGAAGUGUUGAGCAAUAAAAAAAAAAAAAAAAAAAAAAGAAGAAAGAAAGAAAGAAAAACAGAUACGAAACGGGAGAGAGAUUUGUCGCGAAAAAGAAGAACUCUCGAUAGUCGAUUCGGUAGGCAUCCUCGCUUUCGUACCUCGCACUCGCUACAGCCAUAGCCAUAACCGUUCUCGUUACAAUUUGUUUAUCGGUAUACUGCAUAUCGGUUAAACGAUACGUUGACUAUCGGCGUCGCUGUGAAAUAUCAUACGUUACCGUGAUUUUUAUAGUUAUCGCGUUAUGUUGUCUAUCGUUAAUUGUAACAAUUCAUCGCUGCGUUUCGAGCCAAUCGAGGAUUACAGUGUUUAUCGAUACACGAUCACGAACAGUCGAUGUAGAUGUAUGCCAUAACCGACAUCCUCUUUUGUCGCUGAUCAAACGCUGUGUAAAAUUGCGCAUUUGGCAUGAUUAUAUGCAAAGAAAUAAAUAUAUGCACGUGUACGUGUACGCGGCAUCGUACAUAAUCAGGAGGUAAAGAAAGAAGGAAAGAAAGAAAGGAAGAAAAAAAGAAUGAGAGAGAGAGAGAGAGAGAGAGAGACGUAUAUGUAUGUAUUCGCGUGUACGCGUUCGCGUGCCUAUACUUAUAGAAUACACAUACAAAGUAUAAAUAUUAUAUAUUGACUAUCUACGAUAAGCGAGAAACAUUUAUCGAGUAAUCACAUAGGAUGUGUUGAAAACAUUUAAAAUGAUGCACAGGGUAUAGAUGAGAAAAUCGUUGAUAUAAUAACUGAUGUCUAUAUAAUGAAUGUUUCUUUUGUUCUAUCGGCCUCAAGGACACAAAACGCGUACGAUUGACAAUUAAUCUAUGGUAGAUGUUUUUCAGAAUCCAUUCCGAUUCAAAGGGGACGGUUCUAGUAUAAGUGUCGUCGGUGUUAAUCGUUCGUCGAUAAUGAAACGAAACGAAGGAGGAAAGAAAGGAAAAAAAAAAGAGAAAAAAAAAAAAAGAAAGAAAGAAACAGGAGGAAGCAGGGAAACGGAAAUGAACGUUAUACCGUGCCGAACGGAACGAACCAUCGCUACAAAUUAAUCGAUACCUUUCGAUUAAUCGAAUCAAUCGAUUGUAAAUUGAUCGCUAAGAAUUAAGUAUUAAGUAUAAAUAUAUUAUACAGAUUUAAGUGGUUUCGCUGUUGAUCGUAUCGAAAUAAUAAUAAUAUUAUUAUUAAUAAUAACUAUGAUAACAACAACAACAACAACAACAACAACAAAAUAAUAAUGAUAAUUAAUAAUUAAUAACAAUAAUAAUUAAUAAUAAUAAAACGAGAAAAAAGAAAGAAGAUCGAGAGAAAAAAAGAGAGGAAAAGAAAAAAAAGAAAUUUUCGAGCGUAAGCGAGUAAGAGAGCUUGGGCCAAAACCGGCCUCCGACAUAUUUUUUAAUCGCUUGGAACCCUCUAUUAUUCUAACAUUUAAACUUAACUGGUGUGAAUGUCCAACCGACCGAUCGAUCGAUCGAUCGACCGAUCCGUCGAUUCGUGGCCGAAAACAGUAAUCGACCGCUCGCUCGCUCGCUUUCACCUUAACCACAACUUCUCUGUCAUGAUUCUCAUUAUCAGCAUCGUAUCGAUCGCUCGGAUUAUCGAGAUGUGUUCUAUAUUGACCAACAAUGUACUUGCCGAGUAUUUAUAGCUGUUCGUACAACGCGAGAAAGAGGGGCGACUCCAAUCGUUCUCUGCAAUUUUUAUUUCGUUUCCCCUCUCUUUCUCUGUAUCUCGCCGUUUUCUUCCUUUCUUUUAGGCCACUUGUUAGAUCGACGAUUUCCCGCUUUCAAAUUGAUUCUCGCGGUAAUUCUUCAUUGGGACUACAUAAGGCCGUUUCUUCGUACCUCUUCCUUUAUCUUUUGCGCUUAUCUUUCUUUUUUUUUCUUUUCUUUCUUUUUCUCUUUCGCAUCCGUUUCGUCCUUUUUUUUUCUUCUUUUGAUCAUUGGAUCGGGAUGACACGAAAAAUCAAAGUUGAAAAUCAUUUCACUCGAGUCCCCUACACGUGC